GAAGAGUUUGAUCAUGGCUCAGAUUGAACGCUGGCGGCAGGCCUAACACAUGCAAGUCGAACGGUAACAGGAAGCAGCUUGCUGCUUUGCUGACGAGUGGCGGACGGGUGAGUAAUGUCUGGGAAACUGCCUGAUGGAGGGGGAUAACUACUGGAAACGGUGGCUAAUACCGCAUAACGUCGCAAGACCAAAGAGGGGGACCUUCGGGCCUCUUGCCAUCAGAUGUGCCCAGAUGGGAUUAGCUUGUUGGUGAGGUAACGGCUCACCAAGGCGACGAUCCCUAGCUGGUCUGAGAGGAUGACCAGCCACACUGGAACUGAGACACGGUCCAGACUCCUACGGGAGGCAGCAGUGGGGAAUAUUGCACAAUGGGCGCAAGCCUGAUGCAGCCAUGCCGCGUGUAUGAAGAAGGCCUUCGGGUUGUAAAGUACUUUCAGCGGGGAGGAAGGUGUUGUGGUUAAUAACCGCAGCAAUUGACGUUACCCGCAGAAGAAGCACCGGCUAACUCCGUGCCAGCAGCCGCGGUAAUACGGAGGGUGCAAGCGUUAAUCGGAAUUACUGGGCGUAAAGCGCACGCAGGCGGUCUGUCAAGUCGGAUGUGAAAUCCCCGGGCUCAACCUGGGAACUGCAUUCGAAACUGGCAGGCUUGAGUCUUGUAGAGGGGGGUAGAAUUCCAGGUGUAGCGGUGAAAUGCGUAGAGAUCUGGAGG
rnacentral:rRNA from 1 species